GCCUUCAUGGUGUAAUUGGAAGCAUACUUGACGCUUAUUCGAGAGGUCCUGGGUUCGAAUCCCGGCGAGUGCA
rnacentral:tRNA from 1 species